rnacentral:tRNA from 1 species
AGGGAGUUAGUCCAAAACAAGACCUCUGAUUUCGGCUCAGAAGAUUGUGGUUUAAUUCCAUGACCCCCUU